GAUGAACGCUGGCGGCGUGCUUAACACAUGCAAGUGGAACGGUGAAGCAGGAGCUUGCUCUUGUGGAUCAGUGGCGAACGGGUGAGUAACACGUGAGCAACCUGCCCCUGACUCUGGGAUAAGCGCUGGAAACGGCGUCUAAUACUGGAUAUGUGAUGUGACCGCAUGGUCUGCAUCUGGCAAGAAUUUCGGUUGGGGAUGGGCUCGCGGCCUAUCAGCUUGUUGGUGAGGUGAUGGCUCACCAAGGCGUCGACGGGUAGCCGGCCUGAGAGGGUGACCGGCCACACUGGGACUGAGACACGGCCCAGACUCCUACGGGAGGCAGCAGUGGGGAAUAUUGCACAAUGGGCGGAAGCCUGAUGCAGCAACGCCGCGUGAGGGAUGACGGCCUUCGGGUUGUAAACCUCUUUUAGCAGGGAAGAAGCGAAAGUGACGGUACCUGCAGAAAAAGCACCGGCUAACUACGUGCCAGCCGCCGCCGUAA
rnacentral:rRNA from 1 species